rnacentral:sRNA from 2 species
CUCAAGUGGGUGAUCAUGGCUUUCAACCACUCUGCCUUGUCACAACCCCUCAGUGCCAUCAGUCAUCCAACCCUUUUCAGUAUUUGAUUUGGAGGUUGUAUGCCUGGAACUCUGAUAUCCAUCAUGUCAGUUGCUUAGAGGGUUUGAUUGUUAUUUGUAAAUAAAUAAGGCUUUUGUAGUUGAUGAUCACUGUUGUUGUAUGCUUAUUAUUGAUAUAUCAAUCUUAUAGACCU